UUAUUUUUCACUGAAAAAAGC
rnacentral:piRNA from 1 species